CCACUUUUCCCCCUCGCUCACACAUCUCAUGGCUGCUGGGGGUUCGUCGCCGACGCCCUCGUCGUCAUCAACAACCGCAAGGGGAAGCAAGGGUAGAUCAAAACGGAGAGGCUCCCGGGGAGGAAGGAGAUACGGGAGGGAUUUUUUGUGCGAGGCGAGGGCCGGCCGAGGGGGUCCUGCUAGAGGUGGAGCGGUAGGGGCUCGCCGGAGUGCGUAUGCAGGAGGGGUGUUUUACGUGCUCAGCUCAGGUGCGGCACCCGAGGGGCAAGCGAGGAGAGGCGCUCAACCUGACGAUUUAUUCAGCAGACAAUUUUUGGCAGCGCGUGUGUGGUUCAAUAUGCAAUUUCUGUAAGCCACGCAAAUAUAUCUGUGAUUCAGUAGGCAAUACUGUAGUAUAAUGAUUUUUUCCAGCAUUUUUGUGUCUAGUUUGGGAACAGAAGUAGGGAAUACUGUGGUUUUUGUAGACAAUUAGACAUAGAUUAGUAUGCAAUUAGAAUCAGAUAAUAGGCAAUUCUGUGUGAUCAUGGAUUCUUUUUGUAGGCAAUACUGUGGUUGUUUUUGUAGGCAAUUAGACCAGAUAUCUGACUGAUGUAUAUGGAUUAUCAUGGUAUUAUUUGUUCAUUUGAUCAUGUGCUCUGUUUUGCUUUUCAACAGGAUGCCGUAAGUCUGCUCCCACAACUGGAGGAGUGAGGAAGUCUCACCGUUACCGCCCUGGAACUGUUUGCUCUUCGUGAGAUCCGCAAAUACUAGAAGAGCACGGAGCUGCUCAUAAGGAAGCUUCCAUUCCAGAGGCUUGUUAGGGAGAUUGCCCAGGAUUUCAAGCAAGGUGCAAGACAAUAGGCAAGAAAAGAAUUCAAGAACCAGCCACUUUAUGCAGUAUCAUGGUUGUACAGGGAGGCAAGAACAAGGGACCAGAUUUGGGGCGAGAUUUCAAGUCAGGUUUCUGGGCGACUUGGGUACUGGAGGCAAGUAUGCAAGUAGUAGAGCAUGGGGUAGGUAACGUAUAGAGGGGGAGUUCAACUAGAUCGAGUAGAACUAUGGUCAAGAAUGGACCUGUUACCUUUGCUGUCUUUCACCAGGAGAAAUUUGCUCAGUUCUGGCAAAUUUUUUGCCCACUUUUUUUUUUCAGAUUGUUGCUUGAUCAGCACAAAUAGUUGCAGACAACAUUGUCUUCUUCACGAAUUUCCCACGAUCUAUCUGACUUUGAUUUUUCUCA